rnacentral:rRNA from 1 species
AGAUAAGCGCUGAAAGCAUAUUAAGCGCGAAGCCCACUCCAAGAUAAGGAUUCCCAAGGAGACUCCUAGUAGAUGACUAGGUUGAUAGGCUAUAAGUGGAAGUAUGGUAACAUAUGGAGCUGAGUAGUACUAAUAGGUCCAUUGCCUUUUUAUG